rnacentral:lncRNA from 1 species
ACAUUUCAAAAAAUCAGUAAUUACAACUAUUGUAUGAUUAUAUUUUUAAAAUAUUGUCAUCAAUUGUAGACAUAGUAGUUAGGCAAGUUUUUGAGAACUCGGUGGUUGGCAAAUUUAGUGGUGUGUAAGUGUCCCCAUCCAUGCUACCAGUAUUAUAAACUAUAGCAAAUUUAUUUAUAUGCAAAUCACAAGAAGGGGAAAAGGUAAGGACAUUUUUUGGAUGGCUUCAUAAAUUGUUCGGAUUAAUGUUUACAUAAUUAAUAUUAAGAGUUUGUUUGGAUAUUGCUAUAAAAUUGGGUUCAAAGCUUCUUAGAAAUUGGGUCUAUUGGCCCAUCUAACCUAUAUUCUCUAAGAGUCUAUCUAAACUCAAUCCAGAUCCUAGUCUUUUAGUUGUAGGAAGAAAGAUCUUAGUCUUUUUUUUUUUUGUUCUUACAAGAUUUGGGUCGGGUGAAGUUUGGUUAAUACAGAGCUAUGUUUAAAUGACAGCUCAAUUUAUGAAUCCUACAGAAUUUAUAGUCCAAUCCCGUGUUUGGGUUGGAGGGGGAGGGCAAAGGGCCUUUUUUU